GGCGGAGGGUAAGAGGGGGCGCGAGACCCAGUCCUCGCUGGGGGCGCGCGCACGGGGCGGCUGGGGCGGGGCCAGCGAGGGGCGUAGCCAAGCCGGGGGCGCGCGGCCCCUGCAAUGUCUGCAAGGGUCGGGAGAAGCCGGCGGCCCGCAGGCCCGGAGGGGACCGAAGGGGCUGGGGGGGUCCGGGGCUGAGCCAGCAGGGUCCGCUCCCUCACAGGGAAGGCUGAGUGCCCGCCUUGGAGAGGAAGGCCGCCCUUUGCCAGGUGGGCCGCCUCCGCAAAGACUUGGUCGUCGUCAUCUGGGGCACUCGGCCAAGGAAGGACUUCCUCUGAGCUGUAAUGAUCAACCCGCGGCGGGAAAAUAGAUACUCUGCUUCUACAUCACAGAGGAGCCCUUCCUGCGCCGCCUCCCCGCUGGGCAAUGUGGUUCAGUUCAGUUCAGUUCAGUCAUUCAGUCGUGUCCGACUCUUUGCGACCCCAUGAAUCGCAGCAAGCCAGGCCUCCCUGUCCUUCACCAUCUCCUGGAGUUCACUCAAACUCACAUCCAUCAAGUCGGUGACGCCAUCCAGCCAUCUCAUCCUCUGUCAUCCCCUUCUCCUCCUGCCCCCA
rnacentral:lncRNA from 1 species